CUAUUAUGCUUCCAAAUAGGGUGUGAACUGUUUUACAUUAUUAUGAUACAACUUUUUUUAUAAGGUUUUGGAGUGUUUGCUACAAAAACAUUUCAACAUGGUGAAUUUCUUCUUGAGUAUGCUGGAAAUUGUAUUAGUAAAGUUGAGGGUGAAAAAUUGCAAUCUACAUAUCCUGAUGAAGCUGGUUCCUUUUUUUUUUUUUAUAAUAACAGUUGGUAAGCAAAUUGUACAUAUAUGUUGUGAUUAUUUUAAUAUCCACAGCAGUUACUUGCGUAAAGAUUGUUGGAAAGAAACUUUAUUUACGAAUUUUGUAAAGAGCACAGGAUAAUUUUUGCAAAUAAAUGCCGGCAAAAAAUAUUUUCUUUUGAGAAAAAUGGAAAAUUUGAUUUUCAUAAAAUAUUCCGGAAAAUUGUCACAAAAGUCAGUUGUGAAAUUUGAAAAGUACUCUAGGUAAUAUACUGCAAUUUUAAGAUUAUUUAUAAUAGCAUUGAUGCAACUGAGAACACACAGUUUGGGAAAUACGUUAAUGACAGCAAAAAUGCCAAAAACUGUUGCAUGAAACCGAUAUAUGAUGAUAAUGGGCAUUUGCAUCUUUGCCUGUUUGUUUUGUGUGACAAAGUCAUAUCUAUUGGAGAAGAGUUGAGAUAUUCGUAUGGAGAUAUGAAAGAACUUUUUUGGAGAAAAAACAAGGAGACUGCUUCACCAUAUUUUGCAAGUAUUGAUGUUGUUACCAAGCAGGGAGUAAGUUUUUUUGUAAUAUAUACAUUUUUCUUUUUUUCACUAGAGUAACUGCUAUUUUUCUUUUCUUUCUUUUCAGUUUGUUUUAUGCGAUCCUGGGAAUGUAAUUGUGAGUAUCCAAUCAUAGAUUUUGAACUUUUUGUUCAAAAAAUUCUUGUGUUUAUAAUAAAACCUUUUUUGUGAUUUUAGAAUAACCAAAAAAAGAAAAUUUAUUCUGAACAUGUAAGCCAUCUACAUUUUUAAGGCAAAAUGUUUUUGUAUCAAUAUUGUAAUCUUUCAUGAUGUCCACGUUUU